UGAUGGUGGUUAGGGUAAUUUCUGAGCAUACUCUUAAAUCUGUCCUAAGCUUGGUAGAGAUUCUCUUUUUCUUUCUGCCUGAAACUCAAAAUCUCAUUUCUUAAACA
rfam:Capsicum annuum cultivar Zunla-1 chromosome 3, whole genome shotgun sequence